AAAAACAUGGCCUUUUGAUUAAAAUUUAAGGUCUAACCUGCUCAAUGAGUUUUAAAUAGCCGCAGUAUCUUAACUGUGCAAAGGUAGCAUAAUCAUUAGUUUCUUAAUUAGAAGCUGGAAUGAAGGGUUGAAUGAGAAAAUAGCUGUCUCUAUAAAAAUUUUAUAGAAUUUUAUUUUUAAGUUAAAAAGCUUAAAUAUUAAUAGAAGACGAGAAGACCCUAUAGAGUUUUAUAUUUAUAUAUAAUAAUUUCUUUAAGUAUUUUAAAAUUUAUUAUUUUAUAAUAUUUGGUUGGGGUGAUUGGAAAAUUCAAUAAACUUUUCUUAAUAAAAACAUUUAUUUAUGAAAAAAUGAUCCUUUUUAAAGAUUAUAAGAUAAAAUUACCUUAGGGAUAACAGCGUAAUUUUUUUUGAGAGUUCUUAUCGAAAAAAGAGAUUGCGACCUCGAUGUUGGAUUAAAAUGAAUUUUUGGUGUAGAAGCUAAAUUAAUUAGGUCUGUUCGACCUUUAAAAUUUUACUUGAUCUGAGUU
rnacentral:rRNA from 1 species